rnacentral:rRNA from 1 species
CCUACGGGGGGCAGCAGUGGGGAAUAUUGCACAAUGGGCGCAAGCCUGAUGCAGCCAUGCCGCGUGUGUGAAGAAGGCCUUCGGGUUGUAAAGCACUUUCAGCGGGGAGGAAGGCGGUGAGGUUAGUAACCUCAUCGAUUGACGUUACCCGCAGAAGAAGCACCGGCUAACUCCGUGCCAGCAGCCGCGGUAAUACGGAGGGUGCAAGCGUUAAUCGGAAUUACUGGGCGUAAAGCGCACGCAGGCGGUCUGUCAAGUCGGAUGUGAAAUCCCCGGGCUCAACCUGGGAACUGCAUUCGAAACUGGCAGGCUAGAGUCUUGUAGAGGGGGGUAGAAUUCCAGGUGUAGCGGUGAAAUGCGUAGAGAUCUGGAGGAAUACCGGUGGCGAAGGCGGCCCCCUGGACAAAGACUGACGCUCAGGUGCGAAAGCGUGGGGAGCAAACAGGAUUAGAUACCCUAGUAGUC